rnacentral:rRNA from 1 species
UACGUAGGGUGCGAGCGUUGUCCGGAAUUAUUGGGCGUAAAGAGCUUGUAGGCGGUUUGUCGCGUCUGCUGUGAAAAUCCGGGGCUCAACCCCGGACUUGCAGUGGGUACGGGCAGGCUAGAGUGUGGUAGGGGGAGACUGGAAUUCCUGGUGUAGCGGUGGAAUGCGCAGAUAUCAAGAGGAACACCAGUGGCGAAGGCGAGUCUCUGGACAACUCCUGACACUGAGGCACGAAAGCUAGGGGAGCAAACAGG